CAGCAGUAACCGCGGGAACACGUAGGGUGCAAGCGUUAAUCGGAAUUACUGGGCGUAAAGCGUGCGCAGGCGGCUCUAUAAGACAGAUGUGAAAUCCCCGGGCUCAACCUGGGAACUGCAUUUGUGACUGUAGAGCUGGAGUGCGGCAGAGGGGGAUGGAAUUCCGCGUGUAGCAGUGAAAUGCGUAGAUACGCGGAGGAACACCGAUGGCGAAGGCAAUCCCCUGGGCCUGCACUGACGCUCAUGCACGAAAGCGUGGGGAGCAAACAGGAUUAGAUACCCGCGUAGUCCCUGUCUCUUAUAC
rnacentral:rRNA from 1 species